AUACUGCUUGGCAGCAUGUAUACUAAAAUUGCAACAAUUCAGAGAAGAUUAGCAUGGCCCCUACACAAGGAUAGCAUGCAAAUUUUCCCCAUAUUUUU
rnacentral:snRNA from 1 species